GCCUGGGUGGCUUAGUUGGUUAAGCAUCUGACUUCGGCUCAGGUCAUGAUCACCGUUCAUGAGUUUGAGACCCGUGUCGGGCU
rnacentral:tRNA from 1 species